AGAUGAACCCGGUGAAUGGUAGAACCGGGGUAAGCGUGUAGGAGGAGGACCAGGCAGAUCCGGGCCUCACAUACUCUGAGACGUGAUACCGAGCCGCUUCAGGCGAAGUCAUUAAUCCUAUGCUGCCUAGAAAAGCCCAGUAGCGAGUUGACAUGGUGCCCGUACCCCAAACCAACACAGGUGGACAGGUAGAGCAUACCAAGGCGAGUGGGAUAACUAUGGUUAAGGAACUCGGCAAAUUUCCUCCGUAACUUCGGGAUAAGGAGGACCCCAGUAGCGUGACGAGACUUGCUCUCUGAGCGUGAAGGGGUGGCACAAAAUUGAGGGAAGCGACUGUUUACCAAAAACACAGCAGCGUGCUAAGCCGUAAGGCGCUGUAUACGCUGUGACUCCUGCCCGGUGCUGGAAGGUUACGGGGAUGGGUUAGUCCUUCGGGACGAAGCUCUGAACCUAAGCCCCAGUAAACGGCGGCCGUAACUAUAACGGUCCUAAGGUAGCGAAAUUCCUUGUCGGGUAAGUUCCGACCUGCACGAAUGGAGUAACGACUUCCCUACUGUCUCAACCAUAGACCCAGCGAAAUUGAAGUACGAGUAAAGAUGCUCGUUAGCUGCAGAAGGGCGGAAAGACCCCGUGGACCUUUACUAUAACUUGAUGUUGUGUUUUGUCAUAUGUUGUGUAGGAUAGGUGGGAGACAAGGAAGCAUGGACGCUAGUCUGUGUGGAGUCAUCGUUGAAAUACCACCCUGCAUAUGGUGAGGCUCUAACCUAGACCCGUUAUCCGGGUUGGGGACAGCGUCAGGCGGGUAGUUUAACUGGGGCGGUUGCCUCCUAAAGAGUAACGGAGGCGCCCAAAGGUUCCCUCAGCCUGGUUGGCAAUCAGGCGUCGAGUGCAAUGGCAAAAGGGAGCUUGACUGCGAGACCUACAAGUCGAGCAGGAGCGAAAGCUGGGCAUAGUGAUCCGGCGGUUGCGUGUGGAAGCGCCGUCGCUCAACGGAUAAAAGGUACCCCGGGGAUAACAGGCUAAUCUUGCCCAAGCGUCCAUAGCGACGGCAAGGUUUGGCACCUCGAUGUCGGCUCAUCGCAUCCUGGGGCUGAAGCAGGUCCCAAGGGUUGGGCUGUUCGCCCAUUAAAGCGGUACGCGAGCUGGGUUCAGAACGUCGUGAGACAGUUCGGUCCCUAUCCUCUGUAGCCGUAGGUGAAUUGAGGAAAGCUGUCCCUAGUACGAGAGGACCGGGACGGACGCAGCUCUCGUGUGCCAGUUGUCCUGCCAAGGGCAUGGCUGGUUAGCGACCUGCGGAAAGGAUAACCGCUGAAAGCAUCUAAGCGGGAAGCCUCUUCCGAGAUGAAUUCACCCACAGGGUUAACCUGGUAAGGCCCGUGGUAGACCACCACGUUGAUAGGCCGGAAGUGUAAGCGUGGCAACACGUUCAGCUGACCGGUACUAAUCGGCC
rnacentral:rRNA from 1 species